UGAAGAAGAUCUGUCAUCUGUUGGAAAAUACACAAUUCAGAUUAGAGAAACUAAAUCUGCGUAAGUGUGGUCUGACAGAGGAAAGCUGUUCAGCUCUCGCUACAGUCCUGAGAUCAAACUCCAGUCUGAAAGAUCUUGACAUGAGCAACAAUAAUCUGCAGGAUUCAGGAGUGAAGCAACUCCAGAACGGAUUAGAAAACACAAACUGCACACUGCAGAAACUCAGACUUUCAGACUGCAGUAUCACAGAAGAAG